rnacentral:rRNA from 1 species
UACGUAGGGCGCAAGCGUUGUCCGGAAUUAUUGGGCGUAAAGAGCUCGUAGGCGGUUUGUCGCGUCUGCUGUGAAAACCUAAGGCUCAACCUUGGGCUUGCAGUGGGUACGGGCGGACUAGAGUGCGGUAGGGGUGACUGGAAUUCCUGGUGUAGCGGUGGAAUGCGCAGAUAUCAGGAGGAACACCGAUGGCGAAGGCAGGUCACUGGGCCGCAACUGACGCUGAGGAGCGAAAGCAUGGGGAGCGAACAGG